GGAGACGUGCCGGAGUGGUCGAACGGGCUUGACUCGAAAUCAAGUGUACCCUUUAACGGGUACCGAGGGUUCGAAUCCCUCCGUCUCCG
rnacentral:tRNA from 1 species